ACGAACGCUGGCGGCGUGCCUAACACAUGCAAGUCGAACGGGGUUACACGAGGUGCUUGCACCAUGUGCAACCUAGUGGCGGACGGGUGAGUAACGCGUGAGCAACCUGCCUUUCAGAGGGGGAUAACAACGGGAAACCGUUGCUAAUACCGCAUAAUACCGGAUGAUGGCAUCAUCGACCGGUCAAAGGAGCAAUCCGCUGAAAGAUGGGCUCGCGUCCCAUUAGGUAGUUGGUGGGGUAACGGCCUACCAAGCCGACGAUGGGUAGCCGGACUGAGAGGUUGAUCGGCCACAUUGGAACUGAGACACGGUCCAAACUCCUACGGGAGGCAGCAGUGGGGAAUAUUGGGCAAUGGGGGAAACCCUGACCCAGCAACGCCGCGUGGAGGAAGAAGGUCUUCGGAUUGUAAACUCCUGUCCUUAGGGAAGAAACAAAUGACGGUACCUGAGGAGGAAGCUCCGGCUAACUACGUGCCAGCAGCCGCGGUAAUACGUAGGGAGCGAGCGUUGUCCGGAAUUACUGGGCGUAAAGGGUGCGUAGGCGGUACUUUAAGUUGGAUGUGAAAUCCCCGGGCUUAACCUGGGGCCUGCAUCCAAUACUAGAGAACUAGAGUGCAGGAGAGGGAAGCGGAAUUCCUAGUGUAGCGGUGAAAUGCGUAGAUAUUAGGAGGAACACCAGUGGCGAAGGCGGCUUACUGGACGACAACUGACGCUGAGGCACGAAAGCGUGGGGAGCAAACAGGAUUAGAUACCCUGGUAGUCCACGGCGUAAACGAUGGAUACUAGGUGUAGGAGGUAACACCCCUCCUGUGCCGCAGCCAACGCAAUAAGUAUCCCGCCUGGGGAGUACGAUCGCAAGAUUGAAACUCAAAGGAAUUGACGGGGGCCCGCACAAGCAGCGGAGCAUGUGGUUUAAUUCGAAGCAACGCGAAGAACCUUACCAAGACUUGACAUCCCUUGACAGGCAUGGAAACAUGCUUUCCCUUCGGGGCAAGGAGACAGGUGGUGCAUGGUUGUCGUCAGCUCGUGUCGUGAGAUGUUGGGUUAAGUCCCGCAACGAGCGCAACCCUUACACUUAGUUACCAGCGGGUAGAGCCGGGGACUCUAAGUGGACUGCCGGGGACAACUCGGAGGAAGGUGGGGACGACGUCAAAUCAUCAUGCCCCUUAUGUCUUGGGCUACACACGUGCUUCAAUGGCCGCUACAAAGAGCAGCAAGAGGGUAACCUGGAGCGAAACUCAAAAAAGCGGUCCCAGUUCGGAUUGUGGGCUGCAACCCGCCCACAUGAAGUCGGAGUUGCUAGUAAUCGCGGAUCAGCAUGCCGCGGUGAAUGCGUUCCCGGGCCUUGUACACACCGCCCGUCACACCAUGGGAGUUGGGAGCACCCGAAGCCGGUGACUUAACCGCAAGGAGAGAGCCGUCGAAGGUGAGAUCAAUAACUAGGGUG
rnacentral:rRNA from 1 species